GCCAGUCCAGGACAGAAGGGGGUGUCACACUUUUGUAAUCCUUGCUACAAAGAAGGCUGAGGCUAGCAGAUCUCUUAGGUUUGAGGGUUCUGAGUGGCAGUGGGCUCAGCUGAUUAGGUGUCCACACUAAAUCAAUAUGGUGAGCUCCUGGAGUGGUGUGUGUGUGUAUUCCAUGUUGCCUAAGGAGAAGUGAACCAGCCUAGGUUGGAAAUGGAGUAGGUCAAAGCUUCCAUGCCAGUCAGUCGUGGGAUCAGCCUUGUGAGUAAUCACUGUACCUCCAGCCUGGGCAAGAUAGGGAUUAGUCAAUCUUA
rnacentral:SRP_RNA from 1 species